rnacentral:lncRNA from 1 species
ACUAAUUGAUGUUAAUUAUAAAAAAUAAUAUUUUUUAUUAUAGGUUUUGAUUAUAUAUAUAUUUUUAUACAAUGCUUAGAAUCUCAACUCAUAAAUAGGAAGAUAACACAAUUCAAUACACUCGAACUUACGUCUUCCUGUAUUGACAUUAAUAUACAUACCAAUCAACUUUAUUUUUUAAAAUUAUAAUUUAAUGUUAAUCUUCUAAAUACAAAAUUUCUAAUCUCCCCCAUGAACAUGAAUAGACAAGUGUUGAUAUUUAUUUAAUAACACUAGUCUUUAUAUUAAUGUGAGAUG